GGAGGAUUGGCCGAGAGGCAAGGCACCGGCUUGCUAAGCCGAGGUCGGGGGCGACCCCGCGCACGUUCGAUCCGUGCAUCCUCCGCGA
rnacentral:tRNA from 1 species